AAUGAACGUUGGCGGCAUGGAUUAGGCAUGCAAGUCGAGCGGUAAGGCCCCGCAAGGGGUACACGAGCGGCGUAAGGGACAGUAAUGUGUAGGUACGUACCUCCGGGCCUGGGAUAGCUGUGGGAAACUGCAAUUAAUACCAGAUGAUGUCUCCGGACCAAAGGUGUGAUUCCGCCGGGAGAGCGGCCUACAUCCUAUUAGCUAGUUGGCGGGGUAACGGCCCACCAAGGCUCAGAUGGGUAGCAGGUGUGAGAGCACGACCUGCGUCACGGGGACUGAGACACUGCCCAGACACCUACGGGUGGCUGCAGUCGAGAAUCUUCGGCAAUGAGCGCAAGCUUGACCGAGCAAUGCCGCGUGCGGGAAGAAGGCCUUCGGGUUGUAAACCGCUGUCAGAGGGAACGAAAUGCCAGUGGGUACUCUCAUUGGUUUGACUGAUCCUCAAAGGAAGGGUGGGCUAAGUUCGUGCCAGCAGCCGCAGUAAUAC
rnacentral:rRNA from 1 species